AGGGAAUCUUCCGCAAUGGGCGAAAGCCUGACGGAGCAACGCCGCGUGAGCGAAGAAGGCCUUCGGGUCGUAAAGCUCUGUUGUCAGGGAAGAACAAGUACCGGAGUAACUGCCGGUACCUUGACGGUACCUGACCAGAAAGCCCCGGCUAACUACGUGCCAGCAGCCGCGGUAAUACGUAGGGGGCGAGCGUUGUCCGGAAUCAUUGGGCGUAAAGCGCGCGCAGGCGGUCCCUUAAGUCUGAUGUGAAAUCUUGCGGCUCAACCGCAAGAGGUCAUUGGAAACUGGGGGACUUGAGUGCAGGAGAGGGAAGCGGAAUUCCAUGUGUAGCGGUGAAAUGCGUAGAGAUAUGGAGGAACACCAGUGGCGAAGGCGGCUUCCUGGCCUGUAACUGACGCUCAGGCGCGAAAGCGUGGGGAGCAAACAGGA
rnacentral:rRNA from 1 species